UUCUUCUACGUAUUUAACUUCUAUCUGCCUC
rnacentral:piRNA from 1 species